CAAACGCACAUGUCGGGUGUGUUGUGCUGAGGAUUGCGGUGAUAUUACAGCAUUUAAGUGAACCGUUGCGGGCUGUCACGUUGCUGUGUGCUCUCACAAUGCGAUAAGCUUCUCGGUGAAUGAUUAAAUAAAUCAUUAAAAUCAGGGUUAUAGUAGAAAACACUUUGUGUAAAGGAGCUGACACGCUAACCGGCGUGACUGCAGGCGACUGCUGUUUGACUUCACCGGACUGAAGGCUUUGGGGCUUCCUGCCGUGCGACACCAUGAGCUCCAGGGUGUGUAAGAGCUGCGGCAGCUCGGACAUCGAUGUUGACCAGGCGCGUGGAGAUGCGGUCUGUAUGGGCUGCGGCUCCGUGCUGGAGGACAACAUCAUCGUGUCUGAGGUGGAGUUUGUGGAGACGGGAGGCGGAGGGUCGUCGGCUGUCGGACAGUUUGUCUCCUCAGAAGGUGAGAGGAAUGAAAUGAUUCACCUGUGAGAGCAAACCUGGUCAUGAAGUCUUUACCAGACGUAAUAGAGAGUGAGAUUGUUGACAAAUAUAACCUGCUUUAUUUAGAAGAUGUUUGUCUGUUAUGGUUUUGUACAAUAGUUUCCUAGAUAUGGGAAGUAACUGAAUACAUUCACUCAAGUACUGAUGUAAAAUUUAACUUGCUGACUUUAUCCUCAGUAUUAAAAUGUUAUACCGCUCGAUA